rnacentral:lncRNA from 1 species
GCUCCACAAAGUUCUUACUUCUGGGGUUAUGGAGUGUCCACAAACAGGAAUCAUGGCUAGGUAAUGAGGCAGUAGUCUGCCUGCAGUUCUAAGGAAAGAGUCCCUGAGGGUGCGUGCGAUCAAGCUGCUGUAAGAACAUAUGCAAUAGUCUCGGCUUGCCAGUGCAGCUGAAAAGUUAGGGAAAGCCUGGAUGGAAGGGCAGGAAGGACUGAUAAAGUUUUAUUUUUCUCCACAGAACUUUCUACAGGGGCUGCUCACCAAGGACCCUCGGCAGCGUCUGUCCUGGCCAGACCUCUUACAUCACCCCUUUAUUGCUGGUCGUGUCACCAUAAUAAUGGAACCAGCAGGCUCAGAUUUGGGCACUCCAUUCACUAGUCGCCUGCCCCCAGAACUUCAGGUCCUAAAGGAUGAACAGGCCCAUCGGCUGGCCCCCAAGGGCAAUCAGUCUCGCAUCCUGUACCAGGCCUGUAAAUGCAUGGCUGAAGAGGCCAAGCAGAAGAAAGACCAGAAUGCAGUACCUUCCCUGGAGCAAGAGAAUAGGACCAGUAAGGUGUUUCUUGGUGCAGCUCCUUUGCCUGAACUAAAGGCUCCUCCUCAGGAAUCCAGCCUCUUGUCUGGUAUCGUGGCCUCAGAAGUGAAAAACAACUGGGAAGAGUGGGGGACUGGAGAAGCUCCCCCUGCACCUCGGUGAGAAGGGUUUGUGGUGGAAGGAAGUUAUCUUGAAGAUGUCUGGCU